rnacentral:rRNA from 1 species
UAGGGAAUCUUCGGCAAUGGGGGGAACCCUGACCGAGCAACGCCGCGUGAGUGAAGAAGGUUUUCGGAUCGUAAAGCUCUGUUGUUAAGGAAGAACGAGUGUGAGAAUGGAAAGUUCAUACUGUGACGGUACUUAACCAGAAAGGGACGGCUAACUACGUGCCAGCAGCCGCGGUAAUACGUAGGUCCCGAGCGUUGUCCGGAUUUAUUGGGCGUAAAGCGAGCGCAGGAGGUUAGAUAAGUCUGAAGUUAAAGGCAGUGGCUCAACCAUUGUAGGCUUUGGAAACUGUUUAACUUGAGUGCAGAAGGGGAGAGUGGAAUUCCAUGUGUAGCGGUGAAAUGCGUAGAUAUAUGGAGGAACACCGGUGGCGAAAGCGGCUCUCUGGUCUGUAACUGACGCUGAGGCUCGAAAGCGUGGGGAGCGAACAGG